rnacentral:rRNA from 1 species
GGAUUAGAUACCCUGGUAGUCCGCGCCGUAAACGAUGGACACUAGCUGUCGGGCCCUUCGGGGCUCGGCGGCCAAGCGAAAGUGAUAAGUGUCCCACCUGGGGAGUACGUUCGCAAGAAUGAAACUCAAAGGAAUUGACGGGGGCCCGCACAAGCGGUGGAGCAUGUGGUUUAAUUCGAUGAUACGCGAGGAACCUUACCAGGGCUUGAAUGCGGUGUGACAGGGGUAGAGAUACCCUUUCCUUCGGGCACAUCGCAAGGUGCUGCAUGGUUGUCGUCAGCUCGUGCCG